rnacentral:rRNA from 1 species
AUGAACGCUGGCGGCGUGCCUUAUACAUGCAAGUCGAGCGAACAGACGAGGAGCUUGCUCCUCUGACGUUAGCGGCGGACGGGUGAGUAACACGUGGAUAACCUACCUAUAAGACUGGGAUAACUUCGGGAAACCGGAGCUAAUACCGGAUAAUAUAUUGAACCGCAUGGUUCCAUAGUGAAAAACGGUUUUGCUGUCACUUAUAGAUGGAUCCGCGCCGCAUUAGCUAGUUGGUAAGGUAACGGCUUACCAAGGCGACGAUGCGUAGCCGACCUGAGAGGGUGAUCGGCCACACUGGAACUGAGACACGGUCCAGACUCCUACGGGAGGCAGCAGUAGGGAAUCUUCCGCAAUGGGCGAAAGCCUGACGGAGCAACGCCGCGUGAGUGAUGAAGGUCUUCGGAUCGUAAAACUCUGUUAUUAGGGAAGAACAAAUGUGUAAGUAACUAUGCACGUCUUGACGGUACCUAAUCAGAAAGCCACGGCUAACUACGUG